rnacentral:rRNA from 1 species
UACGUAGGGGGCAAGCGUUGUCCGGAUUUAUUGGGCGUAAAGAGCUCGUAGGCGGCUUACCAAGUCGGGUGUGAAACCUCCAGGCUCAACCUGGAGCUGCCACUCGAUACUGGUAUGGCUUGAGUCCGGUAGGGGACCACGGAAUUCCUGGUGUAGCGGUGAAAUGCGCAGAUAUCAGGAGGAACACCAGUGGCGAAGGCGGUGGUCUGGGGCCUUACCUGACGCUGAGGAGCGAAAAGCUGGGGGGAGCGAACAGG